AAUGAACGUUGGCGGCGUGGAUUAGGCAUGCAAGUCGAGCGCGAACCCCGCAAGGGGGGAGAGCGGCAAACGGGGUAGUAACGGGUAGGUGACGUACCCUCGGGUUGGGGAUAGCCACGGGAAACUGUGGGUAAUACCCAAUACUCUCCUGGAGCUUGAAGGCUUCGGGAGCAAAGGUGUGAUUCCACCGGAGGAUCGGCCUGCUUCGUAUUAGCUAGUUGGUGAGGUAACGGCUCACCAAGGCAUCGAUGCGUAGGGGGUGUGAGAGCAUGACCCCCACCACUGGGACUGAGAUACUGCCCAGACACCUACGGGUGGCUGCAGUCGAGAAUCUUCGGCAAUGGGCGCAAGCCUGACCGAGCGACGCCGCGUGUGGGAUGAAGGCCCUUGGGUUGUAAACCACUGUCAGAGGGGAUGAAGUGCCAGAGAGUUAUCUCUUUGGUUUGACAUAGCCUCAGAGGAAGCACGGGCUAAGUUCGUGCCAGCAGCCGCAGUAAUAC
rnacentral:rRNA from 1 species